UCAUGGGUCAACUCAACUUAACU
rnacentral:snRNA from 1 species